UCUGUUUCCACUAAUAUCUCCACACUGACAUCGGCUGUUGCAGACUAUCAAGGUGUCUUCGUUUCAAUUUUCAGUCUAUGUUGGGUCUCUGUUUGAUUACGCUUAAUAAAUCCUGUUUUUGCUUUGGAUUUUGUUGAAACAGAGGAAAAGAAAAGAAGAAGAGGAGGAAGAAGAAGACGAGGGAGACGGGAAAAAGUUGAUGCUCGAUUUGAACAGAAAUUGAGUAAAUUGAUCAUCCCAGGUAUGACAAAUCUGCUCUGGCUUUUCUUCAAGAAAGAUCUUCAUUCUUUCACCUACCGUGACUUAGUAGCUGACCUUUGCAGCACUCAAAUUAAACUGCCUGAUUGUAGAGCUAACUCUUUGGAAAAAUAGGUAUUGCAAUGUCUAGGAUGGUGAAGAUGCUGUUUGCAAGGAAAGAAAUGAGAACACUAACGGUGGGUGCUUGAUGCUGCUGGUAAAACCACCAUCCUCUACAAGCUCAAACUUGCACAAUUGAAUCUGUUGGUGAUUGGUUCUUUAAUUGAAAUGUGACGAAGCAUAUUGGUUGUUAGUUUCCCUGCAAUCCAGUCUGCUAUCGUCACAGUGCUGCAUAAAGUUGAUCGAACUUGAGAACAGUUCCAGCAUUUGAAGGGGGUUAUACCCUGGUGGAAAUCUUCCUUUCCUGUCCAAGACCAUGAGUUGUUAAGAAUGAAGAUCUAUUAGCAUUUUGGUGAAAAUGGAGUGCUUCGAAGCCAUUUAGAAGCAGGAAGGAAUCAUUGAAGCUUCCUAUGGAGUCAUGAUUGCUUGGGUUGAUCUUGGAGUUGAAAUCCCACUCGAACAGAUUUUUUAGUCCAAGAGGAAAUAAUCCAAGUGUGUGGGCAGCUAAACAAUCA